CCUACGGGAGGCAGCAGUGAGGAAUAUUGGUCAAUGGGCGCGAGCCUGAACCAGCCAAGUCGCGUGAAGGAUGACUGCCCUACGGGUUGUAAACUUCUUUUAUGAAGGAAUAAAGUGAGGCACGUGUGCCUUUUUGUCUGUACUUUAUGAAUACGGAUCGGCUAACUCCGUCCCAGCAGCCGCGGUAAUACGGAGGAUCCGAGCGUUAUCCGGAUUUAUUGGGUUUAAAGGGAGCGUAGAUGGGUUGGUAAGUCAGUUGUGAAAGUGUGCGGCUCAACCGUAAAAUUGCAAUUGAUACUGGCAGGCGUGAGUACAGGUGAGGUAGGCGGAAUUCGUGGUGUAGCGGUGAAAUGCGUAGAUAUCACGAAGAACUCCGAUUGCGAAGGCAGCUUACUAAACUGCCACUGACAUUGAGGCUCGAAAGUGUGGGUAUCAAACAGGAUUAGAUACCCGUGUAGUC
rnacentral:rRNA from 1 species